rnacentral:rRNA from 1 species
GACGAACGCUGGCGGCGUGCUUAACACAUGCAAGUCGAACGGAAAGGCCCUGCUUUUGUGGGGUGCUCGAGUGGCGAACGGGUGAGUAACACGUGAGUAACCUGCCCUUGACUUUGGGAUAACUUCAGGAAACUGGGGCUAAUACCGGAUAGGAGCUCCUGCUGCAUGGUGGGGGUUGGAAAGUUUCGGCGGUUGGGGAUGGACUCGCGGCUUAUCAGCUUGUUGGUGGGGUAGUGGCUUACCAAGGCUUUGACGGGUAGCCGGCCUGAGAGGGUGACCGGCGACAAUGGGACUGCGGGACGGCCCAGAAUCCUACGGGAGGCAGCAGUGGGGAAUAUUGCACAAUGGGCGGAAGCCUGAUGCAGCAACGCCGCGUGCGGGAUGACGGCCUUCGGGUUGUAAACCGCUUUCGCAUGUGACGAAGCGUGAGUGACGGUAAUGGGUAAAGAAGCACCGGCUAACUACGUG